rnacentral:rRNA from 1 species
UACGGAGGGGGCGAGCGUUAUUCGGAAUUAUUGGGCGUAAAGGGCGCGUAGGCGGCUUGAUGUGUCAAAGGUGAAAUCCCUCGGCUCAACUGAGGAACUGCCUUUGAAACUGUCUGGCUUGAGGCCGGGAGAGGGUAGCGGAAUUCCCAGUGUAGCGGUGAAAUGCGUAGAUACUGGGAGGAACACCGGUGGCGAAGGCGGCUACCUGGACCGGUUCUGACGCUGAUGCGCGAAAGCGUGGGUAGCAAAUAGG